AACGAACGCUGGCGGCAUACCUAACACAUGCAAGUCGAACGAGACCUUCGGGUCUAGUGGCGCACGGGUGCGUAACGCGUGGGAAUCUGCCCUCUGGUUCGGAACAAUAGUUGGAAACGACUGCUAAUACCGGAUAAUGACUUCGGUCCAAAGAUUUAUCGCCUGAGGAUGAGCCCGCGUCGGAUUAGCUUGUUGGUGAGGUAAAAGCUCACCAAGGCGACGAUCCGUAGCUGGUCCGAGAGGAUGAUCAGCCACACUGGGACUGAGACACGGCCCAGACUCCUACGGGAGGCAGCAGUGGGGAAUAUUGGACAAUGGGCGAAAGCCUGAUCCAGCAAUGCCGCGUGAGUGAUGAAGGCCUUAGGGUUGUAAAGCUCUUUUACCCGGGAUGAUAAUGACAGUACCGGGAGAAUAAGCCCCGGCUAACUCCGUGCCAGCCGCCGCCGUAAUAC
rnacentral:rRNA from 1 species